rnacentral:rRNA from 1 species
CCUACGGGUGGCAGCAGUGAGGAAUAUUGGACAAUGGUCGGAAGACUGAUCCAGCCAUGCCGCGUGCAGGAUGAAGGUCCUAUGGAUUGUAAACUGCUUUUGUAAGGGAAGAAUAAGGAGUACGUGUACUUUGAUGACGGUACCUUACGAAUAAGCAUCGGCUAACUCCGUGCCAGCAGCCGCGGUAAUACGGAGGAUGCGAGCGUUAUCCGGAAUCAUUGGGUUUAAAGGGUCCGUAGGCGGGCUGAUAAGUCAGAGGUGAAAGCGCUUAGCUCAACUAAGCAACUGCCUUUGAAACUGUCAGUCUUGAAUGAUUGUGAAGUAGUUGGAAUGUGUAGUGUAGCGGUGAAAUGCUUAGAUAUUACACAGAACACCGAUAGCGAAGGCAUAUUACUAACAAUUUAUUGACGCUGAUGGACGAAAGCGUGGGGAGCGAACAGGAUUAGAUACCCUGGUAGUC